AACGGGGCUACAAUGCUACGCCGAACACCCCCUAAAAGUAAAGAUGAGGGGAGAGAGUUAAUCAUAAAAAAAAAAAAAAGACUCUCAGGGGUACAUGCACUAGUGAGUCUGCCAACGGGCUUCAGAAUGGCCCACACCUGCACACUCGCACCCCCCGCUAAAAUAAACACAGAUAAUAAGGUGUAAUUACUUUAGAAAAUAAUAAUGAGGAGCAAGCCUUGAGACCCCACCUACUCCUGGUGACAAAGGCCUGCCUGUUUAUUGUGGGGGGUGCAACUCACCCAAAGGAUGCUGGCCAGUGUCCUAUGAAAAGACCGGAGGGUCCGACCCAAGGUCCCUUAUAAGACGGUCAUCAGUGUCGACGGGGGCCGGCGCUUUUAAGUCUCAUUGAGCUUAACUGCCUCAAUUAAGCGGUCUGAAGUGACCACAGGAUACUUGCUUUAUCAUCGGAGCCAUACUCAUCUGCUUUUGUAAGACAUUGAUUAAAUGUUGUCCAAAUGUACAGAGCCAUAAAAGAACCCCAAGCAGAAAUGAUUCCCCCAAAUAUCACAUGACACCGUCAUUACUUUGAUUUUCAGAAAUGUAAGCCUUCAGUAUGACCCUCGGGUGAGCGUCAAGUAUUUUACCUCGACCCUACAUACGAUGGAAACACCCCACCUAGAAACCCGGCUAGUAUUUCACACUUUCCUCUGAUUAUUUUCCCCCCCUCAGAGCCAUCACACCUCAGCCACAGAGUCCUUCCACACGUGAACACGACACCAGAUCAUCCGGGAGGUGUACGUCGGCGUCAUGGGCUCACCAUCACCGUCCUGACUUUUACCCCAUCCGACACGAUGGCCCACAGACGGAUUCAGAACCAAUGGAGCCUGGAUCCAACGGACGGAAAAUCCAACUGGUGCAUCUCGGGUAAAAAGCUUGAAAAAAAACUUUGUUAAAAGAGCCUGCUGGGAAAAUAGCAUUCUGCCAGCUGCUGUGGGCAUUUUGAAGUCAGACCGGCGGGUGUCCUCUCCAAACAGAUCCCCAGCGCCAGCGCUCACCUGUAGCCAAGGAACAUCGGGAGGAGCGGCACUAUGCCCGUAGAGGGGGAGCGAAAACCGUCUAGCACAAACCCGCAGGAGAUGCCAUGAAGCUAGUAUUACAUCAGCAAGUUCAUCUCAGGCUUUGCACACGGAGGAGCUGGACUCCUGCCAUGGCAGUUGAUGGUUGGGAGAGGCUGCGGCUUGAUUUGGGUCUGCUCUCCGUAGACACAAAGGAUAGGAAGCAUGUCCUCAGACAUCUUCCAUCACGAAGAAAAAAAAAACCUGAGGAAGAGCUGCAGUCAAUCUGUAUCCAAUAAAGCAAGCUCAUCAGAUAUCUUCUCCAGAGGAAGGCUUCACUUGUGAGUGGGCUGGUGCCACAGCUACUGGGUGUGACACCCGAGCAAGUCAUAAAGCUGGCACCGAGGCACCAUGUCAAUGCAGAGACGUCGAUUCGUGCGGACACACACCCGGUCACGUUUGGGACCGAUCACGCCUCAGCUCGGCAAUGUCACAUGACCGCAUUCGGAAAAAACAGGGCUGCUUUCUCCUUUCCUGCGGAGGAUUUGAUCACUGUCGGCCAGGGCUCGAGCAGGGAUGCCAGCAGGCGCGGCGGUGACCCUGGCUGCUGCGGUCCAGCCCUCGGGCCGGGGGCCAGAACACUUUCAGAGGACUGCAUGGGAAAAGCAAAGGGAAGCGACCAAUAAAAAACAUUGGAUUGUGCCGUGGUGGAAAAAAGUUUGCAUCUAUUUGGAGGAGCAGUGACUGGACCAUAUUUAAAUGUGAGUACACAAAACACAACCCCCCCAAAAAAUGGACACGUGUAUACAAAGUAGACAGAUUGUUUUUUUUUCCCCUGUGAAUGAAAUGUCAACUUGUGCGUUUAUUCCAGUAGUUUCCAGUGUACAAAUAUUUUGGAUGACACAAAAGCUUUUCCGUAGUUCAUGAUAGAUACGCGACACCCACACAACGCAUGGAAUGCCGCAUGCAAGAAAUGCAAUGUUAAGUGAACAUGACAUUUGUAAACAGUCAACGAGUCUAAAGACCCUUGUUGAGAUUUUUUAUUUUUUUACACUAGUGCAAAGCGUUUUGAGAACACACGUCGUAAGGCUUAGAGGAGAGCCGCUUUCAGAAAUCGUCACCAUGUUCCACCUGAAUGUACGGGGGAGCACAAUCAGAACAUACGAGACUAGCACAGGCUAAUGUACACGAAGGCCGGGAACCAACACAAACAUGAGUAAGAAGCACAUGCUGGAGACAAGCACACCGAUGCUCCACUUUGGUUUGUAGUCGCGCUCGCUCUAUGAAGCCAGCUCCGUAGGUCCUUCGUCUUCGCCGUCCGCACGGUUGGCACGGAUCUCCAUCAGCGUACGUGCGAAGCGUGUCCAGUCGUCACUGUGGGCUACCGACAGCUGCGGGGAAAUGUCACAUGGAAUUAAUUACGUACUAAGUCACAAUUCACCAUUAUCGAAUUGGACAUAAUCAGGCUCGGCAAUAUUUAUUUCCAAUGCACGCUAAAGUUAGCCGUGCUAAAAUGAGUCGUGCUGACCUGCCGGCACUGCCUUGAGCUGAAAAUGGCCGCCUGCUAACAUUGCUUGCCCGCUUUGUGGCAAUGGCCAAGUCAUGCAGAGUUUUUUUUUACAAGUAUGUGAAGAAAAGGAAGGCGAAGGGGGAUCAAACACACGCGUUCAUAACAGUUCUGACAUUUGGGUAAACGCGCAGGGCUAGCAGACUGAAAAUGAUCCGUUGCGGUGUUUGCGGAGGUUUUUUACUGUAACAUAAAGUACUUUAUAUUUUUAGUUCAUUGUGCUUGUCUGUCACCAUACAUGAAACAUCACAAAAGUCCAGUGUGGACAGGAAACGCUUCAUGAAGCCACUUAUAUGCAAUUUACCACUUUGUCUCUCACCAUAUGUUGGCAUCCUAAUAUGUCAUUUCACAACUUGCAUUUCACCGCUAAAACGUAUGCAGACAAAAGUCUUGGGACGUCCAAUCUGUA